CGCCUUCUCUGCUCCUAGCCCUGUUCUCGCUCUCACUCUCUCACUCUCUCACUCUCUCACUCUCCUAAACCCUUGAAAGUGAACACAACAGAGGGCAACCAAAGCUAUUCGGUUUCUCAACAUCUGCAGUCUCCGGUCUGCACCUCGUACAGCCAAUCAGCCAUUAUUAUCUGUUGAGAGCUCGAUUGAUAAAACCUUCGUACUUACAAAAUAUCCAUAAAGCUUCAUGGCUUUCCUGGAAGGCGGAGAGAGUUUUUCAGAAUCCAUUUACAAUGAAUUAAGCUUAGAGGAUGUUGAUAUGGAUGAUGUAGAAGAAGGUGGAAGGGGAAGGAAAAGAGAGAAGAAAAAGAAGAAGAAGAAGGGGGGCAUCUCAACGUCUAGCAUUGCAGACAUAAACAGGUUUGUAAUUGACAUGUGUAGAUAUUUGAAAGAAAAGAAAUCAUACCUAGUUUGGAAUGCUGUUGGUUGCCUUGGAGUAGGUGCAUUAAGUGAUCUUGUCAAAGAGGUGGAGGCAAUACAGGCUUGUGGAGGUCAGAUGACAGCUGAUGGCAAGCGCUUACGUACAGGGGGUGGCAUAUUAUGGUGCAUCUUAAAAACACGUGAACCAAAGGCUUACAAAGAGAUAAUGAUGAAAGGGAAGGAAUUUGAGGUGAUCUCUCUCUCUCUCUCUCUCUCACUCUUAUCAAAGCAAUAAUAUAUUAUUGGACUUAAGGUUCCUUCCUUGUCUGACACUUCCUAUUAACCAAUCAGCUUUCCACUGGGGACAUGGUGACAUUUUAUAAAAGAUUCAGACAGACUGGACACAUGCAAAACUCCUGAUGCAUACCCUGUUUUGAACCUCUGUCCUAGCAUUCCAAGUUUGAUGUUUCAUGGUUACACUUACUGUUCCUCUGGGUUGUCUGGUUGUUGUUCCUGCUAAUUUAGUGCUUCAAAUCAUUGGGUUGAGUUUUAUGGUGAGGAGCAUAGAAGCAGUUUAGGCAGCAAAGAGUAACGCAAGUGUCAGAGCAAAACAAAGAGGACCCUGCUCAGAAAAUUGCCUGUGCAUCUUCUUAUGGUAUCAUUAACCAAGUCUCAAAAGAGUUUGCAGCAUUCACCACAAAUGGAGAUU